UUACAUUCAAUAUUAUUCACUAAAUUCAUUUAACAUUAAUGAUUAAAAUCAUCUAACAUUCAACAAAUAUAACAUCUUGUCCCUAACACAACAUUAAUUCAUGAUCUAAUAUCUAAAAUUGAAAGAGAAUUCAUAAGGAGCUGAACAAGAGGAGAUGGAGUCGGAACUUGAGGAGUAUUGCUAUCUUUCCCUUCUAGCACCAUCAUUGAAUCCUUAUUCUGACAAUUUAGUAUAGACUGAAAUAGAAAAUAAUUCUAAAUUAAGAAGAUUUAUUAGUAAA
rnacentral:lncRNA from 1 species